rnacentral:rRNA from 1 species
UACGGGGGGGGCAAGCGUUGUUCGGAAUUACUGGGCGUAAAGGGCUCGUAGGCGGCCAACUAAGUCAGACGUGAAAUCCCUCGGCUUAACCGGGGAACUGCGUCUGAUACUGGAUGGCUUGAGAUUGGGAGAGGGAUGCGGAAUUCCAGGUGUAGCGGUGAAAUGCGUAGAUAUCUGAAAGAACACCAGUGGCGAAGGCGGUCAGCUGGUCCGUUACUGACACUAAAGCACGAAAGCGUGGGUAGCAAACAGG